rnacentral:rRNA from 1 species
CCUACGGGUGGCAGCAGUGAGGAAUAUUGGUCAAUGGACGAGAGUCUGAACCAGCCAAGUAGCGUGAAGGAUGACUGCCCUAUGGGUUGUAAACUUCUUUUAUAUGGGAAUAAAAUGUUCCACGUGUGGGAUUUUGUAUGUACCAUAUGAAUAAGGAUCGGCUAACUCCGUGCCAGCAGCCGCGGUAAUACGGAGGAUCCGAGCGUUAUCCGGAUUUAUUGGGUUUAAAGGGAGCGUAGGUGGAUUGUUAAGUCAGUUGUGAAAGUUUGCGGCUCAACCGUAAAAUUGCAGUUGAAACUGGCAGUCUUGAGUACAGUAGAGGUGGGCGGAAUGCGUGGUGUAGCGGUGAAAUGCUUAGAUAUCACGAAGAACUCCGAUUGCGAAGGCAGUUCACUGGACUGCAACUGACACUGAGGCUCGAAAGUGUGGGUAUCAAACAGGAUUAGAGACCCUUGUAGUC